rnacentral:rRNA from 1 species
ACCCUAAAGACGAGGAUAACCAUUGGAAACAGUGGCUAAGACUGGAUAGGAAGAUAAAAGGCAUCUUUUAUCUUUUAAAAGACCUAGUAAUAGGUAUGCUUUAGGAGGGGCUUGCGCCAUAUUAGUUAGUUGGUAGGGUAAUGGCCUACCAAGACGAUGAUGUGUAGCUGGACUGAGAGGUUGAACAGCCACAUUGGGACUGAGACACGGCCCAAACUCCUACGGGAGGCAGCAGUAGGGAAUUUUCGGCAAUGGAGGAAACUCUGACCGAGCAACGCCGCGUGAAUGACGAAGUACUUCGGUAUGUAAAGUUCUUUUAUCAAGGAAGAAAAGCAAAUGGCGAACCAUUUGUUUGCCGGUACUUGAUGAAUAAGCCCCGGCUAAUUAUGUGCCAGCAGCCGCGGUAAGACAUAAGGGGCAAGUGUUAUCCGGAAUUAUUGGGCGUAAAGGGUGCGUAGGCGGUCUAGUAAGUCAGUGGUGUAAUGGCAACGCUUAACGUUGUCCGGCUAUUGAAACUGCUAAACUUGAGUUAGAUAGAGGCGAGUGGAAUUCCAUGUGUAGCGGUAAAAUGCGUAAAUAUAUGGAGGAACACCAGAGGCGUAGGCGGCUCGCUGGGUCUUAACUGACGCUGAGGCACGAAAGCGUGGGGAGCAAACAGGAUUAGAUACCCUGGUAGUCCACGCCGUAAACGAUGAGUACUAAGUGUCGGGUUAAACCGGUACUGAAGUUAACACAUUAAGUACUCCGCCUGAGUAGUACGUACGCAAGUAUGAAACUUAAAGGAAUUGACGGGACUCCGCACAAGCGGUGGAUCAUGUUGUUUAAUUCGAAGAUACCCGAAAAACCUUACCAGGUCUUGACAUGUUUUUGCAAAAUGAUAGUAAUAUCGUGGAGGUUACCAGAAACACAGGUGGUGCAUGGUUGUCGUCAGCUCGUGUCGUGAGAUGUUAGGUUAAGUCCUAAAACGAGCGAAACCCUUAUCGUUAGUUGCCAGCACGUUAUGGUGGGGACUUUAACGAGACUGCCAAUGAUAAAUUGGAGGAAGGUGAGGAUCACGUCAAAUCAGCAUGCCCCUUAUGACCUGGGCUACAAACGUGAUACAAUGGCUGUUACAAAGGGUAGCUGAAACGCAAGUUCUUGGCCAAUCCCCAAAAACAGUCCCAGUCCGGAUUGAAGUCUGCAACUCGACUUCAUGAAGUUGGAAUCGCUAGUAAUCGCGAAUCAGCAUGUCGCGGUGAUAA